GACAGAGGGUGCGAACGUUGUUCGGAAUUACUGGGCGUAAAGCGCGUGUAGGCUGUCCGGAAAGUCGGGUGUGAAAGCCCUGGGCUCAACCUAGGAAGUGCACUCGAAACUACCGGACUGGAGUCCCGGAGAGGAAGGCGGAAUUCUCGGUGUAGAGGUGAAAUUCGUAGAUAUCGAGAGGAACAUCGGUGGCGAAGGCGGCCUCUGGACGGUGACUGACGCUGAGACGCGAAAGCGUGGG
rnacentral:rRNA from 1 species